GAUGAACGCUAGCUACAGGCUUAACACAUGCAAGUCGAGGGGAAACGGCAUCGAAAGCUUGCUUUUGAUGGGCGUCGACCGGCGCACGGGUGAGUAACGCGUAUCCAACCUGCCCAUCACUUGGGAAUAACCUUGCGAAAGUAAGACUAAUGCCCAAUGACAUCCCACGAAGGCAUCCGAAUGGGAUUAAAGAUUUAUCGGUGAUGGAUGGGGAUGCGUCUGAUUAGCUUGUUGGCGGGGUGACGGCCCACCAAGGCAACGAUCAGUAGGGGUUCUGAGAGGAAGGUACCCCACAUUGGAACUGAGACACGGUCCAAAAUCCUACGGGAGGAAGCAGUGAGGAAUAUUGGUCAAUGGGCGAGAGCCUGAACCAGCCAAGUAGCGUGCAGGAUGACGGCCCUAUGGGUUGUAAACUGCUUUUAUAAGGGAAUAAAGUGGGUCACGUGUGACUUUUUGCAUGUACCUUAUGAAUAAGGACCGGCUAAUUCCGUG
rnacentral:rRNA from 1 species